UGGAAGAAAAAAUGGUGGAAACUUAACCAAAGGUGGCAUUUCUACUGUACACUUUUCCUAAAAGGUUUCCACAAUUUUGGUCACUACUGUAUAGUUCCACCCUUUGAUCAGUGCAGGAUAUGUAGAGCAAGGGUUUUCAAACUUUUUCAGGCAGCAGACUCUAUUAGUUAAAAUAAAUCCCAAAACUCUUCAUCAAAAGACAAAGGUUUGGUGAUAGAAAAUUAGUUACUGGCUGAGUGAAUUUUCUUAUUUCCCCUUUAGUCUCUUGUGGAACCCCAUAAACCUCUUGCAAAUCUGUGCAGUUGAGAAACCCUGUGCUAGAGCAUCUCUGAUGGAUGACCAUAUAGACUCUGUUUGAAGACCGCCAAAGAAGGUCUGAAAAAAAGUCCAGGAGGAGGAGGAAGAAAAAUAUUAUUUUAAUUUUAUCAUAAUAUUCUUUGUGUGAAACAAUCUAUGCAGUUCUACUUUUGAAGAAUUAUGGAUUACUUAAAUAUAAUACCAUGUAGAAGUCUAUAAUCUCAUUAAUCUUAUUAAAGUUACUCCUUAUCCUGAAGCCACUUUUAGCAUUAGUGUUCUUUGAUCCAUCUUGUGCUUAUUGCAAACUCUAAUUUUGCACAAUAAGAGAUUGCACUGACUAGUUUUAGAGGGAAAAUAUACAAUCAUAUAUCAUGGUUAGUAGGAAGUAACAUGGAAGUGUCAGAAGCAAUGUAAUUUAUACUUUAUUUUACCUCUGUUUCCACAGUUACAGUAGGUCACCUUAUACAGUAUUAAGUCAAGAGUCCAAGCCAAGAUUGUCAAGCUUAUCCGGGUAAUCCAAUCUUGUCAUUUGAAUCUAUCUCUACAUGUAAUAUAAAACCUGAGCCUUAGAGGCACAAUAUUAAUGUAUUUUCCUUAACAUUUUAUUUUACUAUUGUAAGGAGGAAGUUGGAAGUUAGAAAGAAAUUCAUUUCUAAUUACAGUAGGUAUAGUUUAUCCCUAAUCCAGUUAAGAUGUUAGAACAGGAUUAUAAAUUAUAAUAAUAUACUACAAAAUGAGAUUCUUCAAAAUAAAUUAGAAAUGUAGCUGCAUAUUAGCUAGCCAAACAAGAUACAUGCCUGAAAUCAAACAAAAUAAAAUGCUGCCUUGCAAUAUAUUUUAUAAUUUUGUUCUGUAACAGGGCAGCUUUGAGCUUUGAACUCACAGCCCCCUUUAAGGCUUCUAUUAGAAUAUUUUUUGCCAGUUUUAACUGAAGUCCAUCAUUAAUUGGUUGGGAACUUUGUACUGUAAUACAGAAGCAACAUUCCUAGCGACAACUUAGAAUAAGUACACACCAGCACCAGCAAUACUAUUGUAGACAGAAAAUUCUUCUAGCGUUCUGAGAUUUCCUAUAGCAAUUCAUUACUGAAGGGAGAGAGAGAAGUUGAAGCUGUUUGUAUGCCUUAGUUGAAUGCUCUUUACAGAAUUAUCGAAUAGUCAAUCUUACAGAGAAACUAAUGCUUUUGUACACUACCAAUAAAGAAAAAAAAAUUGACCUAGUGCACAAGGCAGUUCUUGUGUGCUGCGUUUUGUUUGAUCAAUCACAACUCAUGACUCUGCCAUUGUUUAAACUGUUUGCAAUGUCAUUUUUAUUCCAAUUCUGAAGUUAAACAUUAUUUUUAUGUGUACUGUACUCCAAUGAAGUUUCUCAAGAGAAAUACUAAUCAAUAUGUUUACUCAUAAAAUCUGUUCAAAUGAAUGGAGACAAGUUAAACAUAAUGACUCAUGACCAAUUUGGUCUGAAUGCUAUUUAUACAUUCUAGAAGCAAUUUAUUGCAAUAAUUACAAUACAGUAUUCUAAUAUAGUAUUGUUUGUGUUUUGAUACGUCAUGUUAUUAAGGGCUUACAUGUUCCUUAUGUUGGAACUCUUUGGAUGACAAGCACUGUCAUCACAGCAACUGCUAUAUUACAUAUGGUUCUGUAGAAAGUUUUUGAAGAGCAAGGGAUCAAACGGAGCAUUCUUUUAAAACUACCAAUUCUAUUAAUGAACCGAAAAGGAUCUGCCUUACCCUUUGCGCAGCCCAAAAUUGCUUUUAAAAAGGGAAAAACUAGUAUGUUUCAGAAAAGAACAGUGGGAAUACUGUACACCAACCUGUAACCAAGUCGGGUGUUGUUUUAUUUGCUUUGUGAAACAUAUUGGAGCUAUACUCUGCCAGCCUUUAAGAAAUACAGGAAAUGAGCUCUCUCAAACCCAGGAAUUUCGAAGUACUAACUGUGGUACUGAUGUGCCAUUUCAAGCAUGGCUGGUAUGCAGAGAUAUUUUUUUUUCCCCUGAGUACAAUUUCCUUAGGAUAAGAAAAGUUCCCCUGACUCUAUUCAACUUAAUUCUUCUCCAAACAAACGGUGAUUCACCACAGGCCCAACUCAAGCGCUUACCAGCCAUCACCUUCCUGCCUGCCUGAAAGCACUUGAACUGGAAACAGAAACAUAGAGGCCCAUAAUCCUGUAAAAGAAACUCUGAUCCUGCAAACCGAACUUUUCUCUCCUCUAACUGGGUAAAACCCAGUAGUGAACUGAGGAAAACAGCGCCCCUUCCCGCCAUCAGUCCACUCUGAAGCAUAAUAACCAGAGGCAAAACACCACCCACAACAAGAGGGAAAGGAGCGGAAAGGCGACGAGCGAUCCUUGAAGGUAAAGAGAACGAAAAAAACAACAAUUACCUGGAGUAGAAAAUAAUUCGUUUGGGAAACCACCCGGUCCUUGGAAGACGUCGCUGGAAUGUGGAACGGCCCCUGGAGAUACGACCGCGAUCCAAGCAGAAACCGCGCCUCUCAAUGCCCAUCGGAGGCGGAAGCUGCCCGGGAGAAGGGAGGGCAGUCUCUGUUCUGGAGGCUUUCCUGACUCAACCCAUUUCCUGUUUCGAGAAGGAGGCAGGAAAACCAACCUGGGCGCGGCCGCUCGGUCGCCGCAAACAGGUAAGCACGCUCACGCCGCUCGCCUCCCUCCCGAAUGGGAAGGACGAGGCACGGCUGGAAGAGUUUGGGAGGCACCUGCCCGGCGAAAGAAGCGCCGCUGUCUCUUGGCGUAGAUUCACUCCGCCACCCAGCCACAAUUGCCACCACCGUUCCGCCAGAGGACACCACGGCGAGCCAAACAAUAACAGGCGAGAGAAGGAGGGAGAGAGAGGGGAGGAGGGACUAGCCGGACCCGAGAAUCUGAUUAGAUGCGAGGCGGCGCUCUUCGAGCAGGACUCCAGAGAAGUUGAGGGUUCGGGGCGGCACAAUUGGCGCCCUCAGAGGGUUUGGUAUUCCGAAGGGAAGGUGUCGAAAUGGGACUACAAAGUCCAGAGGCUGAGGUUACCCCAACUACACCAAGUGUGCUUGGUCGCCUUUUGAUCCAUGCCCGGGUUAGGUCCCUGCAGUGCAUCUGAACCACAAAGCACCUGACUCCUAUUUGAGCCCUUGGCUUUGUUUGCACCCCGGAGGCUUUCAGCCCUAUUCUUCUGAGUCGAGUUUUCUGGAUUACGGCCCGCAGAAGUGCAGACACGCGUGUCCCAGCAUGUGUGCCACUAGUUGCACUAGCGCUUGGGACAGCCGCUGAACCGUUCCGGGAAAAAUGUAACCAAAGGGCAUUCACCAUUUCGCACUGGCCAGCAAGUAAGCUCAGUUCCCCUCCGUGGUCUUCCAUUCCACCGUCCUGACUCUGGAACAGGAAAUACCGGUUCAAAGCAAAACUCUAAUAAACGCAAGGAAGUCGAGUCAGUGGUGACACUGGGGCAUUCGUCAUUGUGCGGCUUUCGUUUGGCUUUAGCCCAGAUCCCAGCUGAAACUCUUGUGAAGGGAAUGAGCAAGUUUGAGAGGGACUUCCAAGGCUGGAUAUUCACUUCCAAGACGGGUUCAGCCUGUCAAUGGCUAUCUUAGGGCGAUCAAGUUUGAAUGGCAAGGAUCCACGUGAUCACUGGAUAGCAGCUAAGCAGGGGUAAAGAAAAGUGUAACUCUUGGCUGGCAUUGAGUGUCUGCCGCUGUAAUCUCAUCUAGGAAACAAAUAAUAGUUUGUUACCCAUUACUUUUGUGAUAAGUUGGCUGUGCAGGUAGAACAAGCUGAAUAAAAUACAAAGUUGUUGAAUGAGCCUGA